GUGUCAGCAGCCGCGGUAAUACGUAGGCAGCGAGCGUUGUUCGGAGUUACUGGGCGUAAAGGGUGUGUAGGCGGUUCUUUAAGUUUGGUGUGAAAUCUCCCGGCUCAACCGGGAGGGUGCGCCGAAUACUGAGGGACUUGGAGUAUGGGAUGGGAAAGUGGAAUUCCUGGUGUAGCGGUGAAAUGCGUAGAUAUCAGGAGGAACACCUGUGGUGUAGACGGCUUUCUGGACCAUAACUGACGCUGAGACACGAAAGCGUGGGUAGCAAACAGGAUUAGAUACCCUGGUAGUCC
rnacentral:rRNA from 1 species